UUCCUUGUGGACCUAAAACAAAAACCAUGUAUCUCAAGAAACACUUCUUUGCGAUAAGCCAAUAACACCAUAAAUCCACAUUCAUACUGCAACAAAAAACCAUGUUCAACACCAUUAACUACCCUUAUAACUUCAAAGAAAGUCAGAUGCUCUCAUCAUUGUUUUCUGCUCUGGAGACCAAAAAAAAUAAAAAUAAAAAUAAACAAAGACUUAGAUCUGCUACAACUCCGCUUAAGUAGUUUGCGCUUAGCCGGUCUCAAGCCCGGAU
rnacentral:misc_RNA from 1 species